rnacentral:rRNA from 1 species
ACGAACGCUGGCGGCGUGCCUAAUACAUGCAAGUAGAACGCACAGUUUAUACCGUAGCUUGCUACACCAUAGACUGUGAGUUGCGAACGGGUGAGUAACGCGUAGGUAACCUGCCUGGUAGCGGGGGAUAACUAUUGGAAACGAUAGCUAAUACCGCAUAAUAUUAAUUAUUGCAUGAUAAUUAAUUGAAAGGUGCAAUUGCACCACUACCAGAUGGACCUGCGUUGUAUUAGCUAGUAGGUGAGGUAACGGCUCACCUAGGCGACGAUACAUAGCCGACCUGAGAGGGUGAUCGGCCACACUGGGACUGAGACACGGCCCAGACUCCUACGGGAGGCAGCAGUAGGGAAUCUUCGGCAAUGGACGAAAGUCUGACCGAGCAACGCCGCGUGAGUGAAGAAGGUUUUCGGAUCGUAAAGCUCUGUUGUAAGAGAAGAACGGGUGUGAGAGUGGAAAGUUCACACUGUGACGGUAUCUGAACAGAAAGAGACGGCUAACUACGUG